rnacentral:lncRNA from 1 species
UGAUGAGAAAGCUUCCAUCUAACGCUGACUUUUGCAUAUUGUCUUGAUCCAUUGUAAAUUAAACCAAUGAUUAAAUUGAAACUCCAAAUCCUUGUAUUAAUUUUGCAGAUGAUCAGUUGUAUUGGAGUGAUCCUUGGGCAUCUUAUCCCCAGUAAACAAAUGCUGCGGUUCUUUUUGACAACUAUCGGUAAUCUCUCCACUGAUCUGCUGACAGCUGCGCUUUGUGCCACUAUCCUAUGCAUUCAGGCACAAAAAUUCUCUGUCUUACUGAAAGGAGAAAUGCUUGUUCUAGGAUUUUGUUUAGGUUUUCCAAUUUUAGCUGUAAGUGUUCUAAUGUACUUAGUAAUGCCUUCUCCAGUGCACACCGAGUAUGACUUUAAUUUUAUGUAUGGGUCUCCAGAAGCUGUCCUCUAUUUGCUAGUCCUCCUUGUGUCUUUCAUAGGAUCCGUUUGUUUUUUAACCCUUGGGCAGCGGACUGAGGAUCCGAAAUGCACAUUUUCUCGCUCUAGUCUCUGA